rnacentral:rRNA from 1 species
UACGUAGGUGGCAAGCGUUGUCCGGAUUUAUUGGGUUUAAAGGGUGCGUAGGCGGCCCUGUAAGUCAGUGCUGAAAUAUCCCGGCUUAACCGGGAGGGUGGCAUUGAUACUGCGGGGCUAGAGUACAGAUGAGGUAGGCGGAAUUGACGGUGUAGCGGUGAAAUGCUUAGAUAUCGUCAAGAACACCUAUAGCGAAGGCAGCUUACUAGGCUGUAACUGACGCUGAGGCACGAAAGUGUAGGGAUCAAACAGG